rnacentral:lncRNA from 1 species
GACGAGGGAACGACAUAAGGUUCUGUUGUUGUGGUCCGUGUGAUGGAAGAGGCAGAGAUGAACCCAUCGUGAACCCCAUCACGUGAUGGAAGAAACAGUGAUGAACCAAUCACGUGAUGGAAGAGGCAGAGAUGUACCCAUCGUGAACCUCAUCACGUGAUUGAAGAAUCAGUGAUCAACCUUAUCGCAUGAUGGAAGAAGCAGUGAUGAACAUCAUCGCCAACCCAUUAUGGGACUUCCUCUGGAACCCAUCGUGAUUCCGGAACGCGGUUCGUCCCCAAUGCGGAAG